rnacentral:rRNA from 1 species
UGGGGAAUAUUGCACAAUGGGCGAAAGCCUGAUGCAGCAACGCCGCGUGAAGGAAGAAGGGUUUCGGCUCGUAAACUUCUUUAAGCAGGGAAGAAAAAAAUGACGGUACCUGCAGAAUAAGCCCCGGCUAACUACGUGCCAGCAGCCGCGGUAAUACGUAGGGGGCAAGCGUUAUCCGGAAUUACUGGGUGUAAAGGGAGAGUAGGCGGCAUGGUAAGUAAGAUGUGAAAGCCCGUGGCUUAACCACGGGAUUGCAUUUUAAACUAUCAAGCUAGAGUACAGGAGAGGAAAGCGGAAUUCCUAGUGUAGCGGUGAAAUGCGUAGAUAUUAGGAAGAACACCAGUGGCGAAGGCGGCUUUCUGGACUGAAACUGACGCUGAGGCUCGAAAGCGUGGGGAGCGAACA